UACAGAGGGGGCUAGCGUUAUUCGGAAUUCUUGGGCGUAAAGGGCGCGUAGGCGGCCAUGCGUGUCUUCCGUGAAAUCCCUCGGCUUAACUGAGGACGUGCGGAAGAAACUGCAAGGCUCGAGUCCGGGAGAGGGGGGUGGAAUUCCCAGUGUAGCGGUGAAAUGCGUAGAUAUUGGGAGGAACACCGGUGGCGAAGGCGGCCCCCUGGACCGGAACUGACGCUGAGGCGCGAAAGCGUGGGUAGCAAACGGG
rnacentral:rRNA from 1 species